rnacentral:rRNA from 1 species
CGGUGGAGCAUGUGGUUUAAUUCGAAGCAACGCGAAGAACUUACCCAGGUCUUGACAUCCCGAUGCUAUUUCUAGAGAUAGAAAGUUACUUCGGUACAUCGGUGACAGGUGGUGCAUGGUUGUCGUCAGCUCGUGUCGUGAGAUGUUGGGUUAAGUCCCGCAACGAGCCGCAACCCUUGUCAUUAGUUGCUACAUUCAGUUGGGCACUCUAAUGAGACUGCCGGUGACAAACCGGAGGAAGGUGGGGAUGACGUCAAGUCCUCAUGGCCCUUAUAGGUGGGGCUACACACGUCAUACAAUGGAUGGUACAAAGGGUCGCCAACCCGCGAGGGGGAGCCAAUCCCAUAAAGCCAUUCGUAGUCCGGAUCGCAGUCUGCAACUCGACUGCGUGAAGUCGGAAUCGCUAGUAAUCGUGGAUCAGAAUGUCACGGUGAAUACGUUCCCGGGUCUU